UACGGGGGGGGGCAAGCGUUGUUCGGAAUUACUGGGCGUAAAGGGCUCGUAGGUGGCCAACUAAGUCAGACGUGAAAUCCCUCGGCUUAACCGGGGAACUGCGUCUGAUACUGGAUGGGCUUGAGUUCGGGAGAGGGAUGCGGAAUUCCAGGUGUAGCGGUGAAAUGCGUAGGAUAUCUGGAGGAACACCGGUGGCGAAGGCGGCAUCCUGGACCGACACUGACACUGAGGAGCGAAAGCCAGGGGAGCAAACGGG
rnacentral:rRNA from 1 species